rnacentral:rRNA from 1 species
GCAGUGCCCUUGAUACUGAAGAGCUUGGAUACAUUAGAGGUAGGCGGAAUGUGACAAGUAGCGGUGAAAUGCAUAGAUAUGUCACAGAACACCGAUUGCGAAGGCAGCUUACUAUGAUGAGAUUGACGCUGAGGCACGAAAGCGUGGGGAUCAAACAGGAUUAGAUACCCUGGUAGUCCACGCCCUAAACGAUGAAUACUCGCUGUUAGCGAUACACAGUUAGCGGCUAAGCGAAAGCGUUAAGUAUUCCACCUGGGGAGUACGGUCGCAAGAUUGAAACUCAAAGGAAUUGACGGGGGCCCGCACAAGCGGAGGAGCAUGUGGUUUAAUUCGAUGAUACGCGAGGAACCUUACCCGGGCUUGAAAGUUAGUGAAUCAUUUAGAGAUAGAUGAGUGAGCAAUCACAUGAAACUAGGUGCUGCAUGGCUGUCGUCAGCUCGUGCCGUGAGGUGUUGGGUUAAGUCCCGCAACGAGCGCAACCCCUAUGUUUAGUUGCCAGCACGUUAAGGUGGGGACUCUAAACAGACUGCCUGUGCAAACAGAGAGGAAGGAGGGGACGACGUCAAGUCAUCAUGGCCCUUACGUCCGGGGCUACACACGUGCUACAAUGGAUGGUACAGAGGGCAGCAAGCUGGCAACAGCAAGCGAAUCUCCAAAAGCCAUUCACAGUUCGGAUAGAGGUCUGCAACUCGACCUCUUGAAGUUGGAUUCGCUAGUAAUCGCAUAUCAGCAAUGAUGCGGUGAAUACGUUCCCGGGCCUUGUACAC